ensembl:lincRNA
ACGGCGUCGGUUGCCCGGGCGAUGCGCGGCACGCGUGCAGAGGCCCACACACACAGAAGGCGGAGCCCCCGGGUGGAGUGGCUGGCUCCCGGACCACCCAGCAGUCUGGAAGGCGAUCUGAGACCAGACUCCAGACCAGACUCCCCACUGACCGGCUCCUCCCACCUCCACACCUCCAGCCUGGCUUCAAGGCCGCUUUACAAUCAUCCUAUUCAGAGACACACAAUAAACAUUUGUAUGGUAAAGGCAACUGAUGCUGACUUCUGCUGAGUCGCCAGAAACACUCAAGACUUACACUUGAAUUCUAACCCAGCGGGGUUCUCAGUUACCUUAGGCAUUGCACCCUAAAUUACGUGUGCCUCUUAAGUAACAACCAUUACCCCACCUCCACCCUGCAACUGUGUAGUGCCUUAGGCCAGCAGGCUAUCUCCAGAGUCUAGGUUUCCUUUGUGUCUGUUUUCUUUCUCUCUGGAAAGCCUUUUCCCUCUCCCCUCAUUUCCUGCCUGACACCAUCUGGUUGUUCUGGUCUCCUUUAGAAGCCACGCCCUCCGAGAAGUCUUUUCCCUGACAGCUGCCUGCAGCCCGGCGGUGCGGAAGACCUGCAGACCCUGUGUUUCUUGUAAUGACUACCUGCUCCAGUUGACUUUCUAAUGUACCACGUGUGGGUUCUGAGCAGCCAGCUGUUUAGCAACGGAGCGGCUUCUCUGUGUUACCUCCCUUUGAAAUGUGGGAUGACCCACGACAGCUCAGAACACUUCAGCCAUUGGGAAGUUCUAGGCUAGGGAUGCAGGGAUGCAGGGAUGCAGUUCACUCUGUAAGGGGGCUCGCAGAGCAGGUACAAAGCUCGGGGUUCGAUCCCUAGCGCCUCAUAACCCAGGUGUGGCGACACGCACCUGCAAUCCCAGCCCUUGGGAGGUGGAGACUCUAGGAUCAGGGGGUUCAAAUUCAACCUCAAGUGUCUAUGGAGUUGGAGGCCAGCCUGAGUUACAAGAGGACCUGUACAGAUAUAGCGGAGUCAAUGAGGUGGCUCAGCAGGUAAGGGCUCUGGAGGCCCCUGCUGCGUACGCAUGAGGGAUAUAAAUUCAGUCCUUGGAACCCACACAAAGGCGGAGGGAGACAAGCGACUGCAUAAAGCUGUCCUCUGACGGCCACGUGUGUGUGUGUGUGUGUGUGUGUUUUAAAUAAUUAAAAUAAUUUAAAAUAAAUAAAAAGGCUGGGCGUGGCGGCUGCACAUGCUUUUAACCUCAGUACUCGGGAGGCUGAUGUAUCCUGUAGGUGAAGCCACAGCUGUUUCUUGUCUGUAUUUGAUCUGUCUAAUGAGUUCCAGGCCAGCCAGAGUUACAUAGUAAGUCUCUGUUUAAUAAAAGAUGCCUGGGGGGGGCAGGGGGUGGGGGGGGGUGACUGAAGCAGGGGGGGGGAACACCUUUAAUCACGACAUUUGGGAGGCAGAUGGAUCUUUAUGAGUUUAAGGCCAGUCUGGUCUAUAGAAUGAGUUCCAGGACAGCCAGGGCUACACAGAGAAACAGUCUUGAAAAAACUAUCUAUCUAACUAACUAACUAACUUACUAUAACUAACAGGCAUGGUGACCCAUACCUUUAAUCCAGCCACUCCUGAGGCAGAAGCUGGUAGGUGUCUGUGAGCUACAAGCCAGGCUGGCCAACAUAUUGAAUUCCUGUCUGAGGACCCUAUCUGCUUCUAACAAAUUAGCAAACACAAGGCUCACGGCUGCUACAAACUCAGGAGGCUCCUUGCUUUAAAUAACCUCAUACAAAACCAGGCUCGCUCCCCACCUGUCUGGCCACAUGCAAAGAAACUGCAGUUCCUUCCUUCGUUAUCCUGU